CAUGAACAUGAGGGGAGCUCGGGGAACCGGGCUGAGAGUAUGACUAUUCCGUCAUAGACCUGACCUGAUCUGGGUAAUGCCAGCGUAGGUGCAUCCGGCGAAGCCGCU
rnacentral:ncRNA from 22 species